rnacentral:rRNA from 1 species
UACGUAGGGGUGCAAGCGUUAAUCGGAAUUACUGGGCGUAAAGCGUGCGCAGGCGGUUUUGUAAGUCUGACGUGAAAUCCCCGGGCUCAACCUGGGAAUUGCGUUGGAGACUGCAAGGCUGGAGUCUGGCAGAGGGGGGGUAGAAUUCCACGUGUAGCAGUGAAAUGCGUAGAGAUGUGGAGGAACACCGAUGGCGAAGGCAGCCCCCUGGGUCAAGACUGACGCUCAUGCACGAAAGCGUGGG